GUUGUAUGGUUAAGUGACUAAGCGUACACGGUGGAUGCCUUGGCAGUCAGAGGCGAUGAAAGACGUAGUAACUUGCGAUAAGCCCAGAUUAGGUAGUAACAACCAUUUGAGUCUGGGAUUUCUGAAUGGGGAAACCCACUUACAUAAGUAAGUAUCCUUAUCUGAAUACAUAGGGUAAGGAGGCGAACCGGGGGAACUGAAACAUCUAAGUACCCCGAGGAAAAGAAAUCAACCGAGAUUCCGAAAGUAGCGGCGAGCGAAAUUGGACUAGCCCUUAAGCUUUACACGCGUUAGACGAACGGUCUGGAAAGUCCGACGAUACAGGGUGAUAGUCCCGUAGUUGACGACGUGUGUUCAGUGAAAUCGAGUAGGGCGGGACACGUGAUAUCCUGUCUGAAUAUGGGGGGACCAUCCUCCAAGGCUAAAUACUACUGACUGACCGAUAGUGAACCAGUACCGUGAGGGAAAGGCGAAAAGAACCCCUGUGAGGGGAGUGAAAUAGAACCUGAAACCGUGUACGUACAAGCAGUAGGAGCAGGCUUGUCCUGUGACUGCGUACCUUUUGUAUAAUGGGUCAGCGACUUAUAUUCAGUGGCAAGGUUAACCAUCUAGGGGAGCCGUAGGGAAACCGAGUCUUAACUGGGCGUUCAGUCUCUGGAUAUAGACCCGAAACCAGGUGAUCUAGCCAUGGGCAGGUUGAAGGUUGAGUAACAUCAACUGGAGGACCGAACCGACUAAUGUUGAAAAAUUAGCGGAUGACUUGUGGCUAGGGGUGAAAGGCCAAUCAAACCUGGAGAUAGCUGGUUCUCCCCGAAAGCUAUUUAGGUAGCGCCUCGGACGAAUACUACUGGGGGUAGAGCACUGUUAAGGCUAGGGGGUCAUCCCGACUUACCAACCCUUUGCAAACUCCGAAUACCAGUAAGUACUAUCCGGGAGACACACGGCGGGUGCUAACGUCCGUCGUGGAGAGGGAAACAACCCAGACCGCCAGCUAAGGUCCCAAAUUACUACUAAGUGGGAAACGAUGUGGGAAGGCUCAGACAGCCAGGAUGUUGGCUUAGAAGCAGCCAUCAUUUAAAGAAAGCGUAAUAGCUCACUGGUCGAGUCGGCCUGCGCGGAAGAUGUAACGGGGCUAAGUAGUAAACCGAAGCUGCGGCAAUAUACUUUUGUAUAUUGGGUAGGGGAGCGUUCUGUAAGCGGUUGAAGGUGUGUGGUAACGCAUGCUGGACGUAUCAGAAGUGCGAAUGCUGACAUGAGUAACGAUAAAGGGGGUGAAAAACCUCCUCGCCGGAAGACCAAGGGUUCCUGUCCAACGUUAAUCGGGGCAGGGUAAGUCGACCCCUAAGGCGAGGCCGAAAGGCGUAGUCGAUGGGAAACGGGUUAAUAUUCCCGUACUUCUUACAAUUGCGAUGGGGGGACGGAGAAGGCUAGGUGGGCCUGGCGACGGUUGUCCAGGUUCAAGUGCGUAGGCUUAAGAGUUAGGUAAAUCCGGCUCUUUUUAAGGCUGAGACACGACGUCGAGCUACUACGGUAGUGAAGUCAUUGAUGCCAUGCUUCCAGGAAAAGCCUCUAAGCUUCAGAUUGUAAGGAAUCGUACCCCAAACCGACACAGGUGGUCGGGUAGAGAAUACCAAGGCGCUUGAGAGAACUCGGGUGAAGGAACUAGGCAAAAUGGUACCGUAACUUCGGGAGAAGGUACGCUCUUGAUGGUGAAGUCCCUUGCGGAUGGAGCUGACGAGAGUCGCAGAUACCAGGUGGCUGCAACUGUUUAUUAAAAACACAGCACUGUGCAAAAUCGUAAGAUGACGUAUACGGUGUGACGCCUGCCCGGUGCCGGAAGGUUAAUUGAUGGGGUUAGACUUCGGUCGAAGCUCUUGAUCGAAGCCCCGGUAAACGGCGGCCGUAACUAUAACGGUCCUAAGGUAGCGAAAUUCCUUGUCGGGUAAGUUCCGACCUGCACGAAUGGCGUAAUGAUGGCCACGCUGUCUCCACCCGAGACUCAGUGAAAUUGAAAUCGCUGUGAAGAUGCAGUGUACCCGCGGCUAGACGGAAAGACCCCGUGAACCUUUACUACAGCUUGGCACUGAACAUUGACCCUACAUGUGUAGGAUAGGUGGGAGGCUUUGAAGCACGUACGCCAGUAUGUGUGGAGCCGUCCUUGAAAUACCACCCUUGUAGUGUUGAUGUUCUAACGUCGACCCCUUAUCGGGGUUGCGGACAGUGCCUGGUGGGUAGUUUGACUGGGGCGGUCUCCUCCCAAAGAGUAACGGAGGAGCACGAAGGUGGGCUAAUCACGGUUGGACAUCGUGAGGUUAGUGCAAUGGCAUAAGCCCGCUUGACUGCGAGAAUGACAAUUCGAGCAGGUGCGAAAGCAGGUCAUAGUGAUCCGGUGGUUCUGAAUGGAAGGGCCAUCGCUCAACGGAUAAAAGGUACUCCGGGGAUAACAGGCUGAUACCGCCCAAGAGUUCAUAUCGACGGCGGUGUUUGGCACCUCGAUGUCGGCUCAUCACAUCCUGGGGCUGAAGUCGGUCCCAAGGGUAUGGCUGUUCGCCAUUUAAAGUGGUACGCGAGCUGGGUUUAGAACGUCGUGAGACAGUUCGGUCCCUAUCUGCCGUGGGCGUUGGAAGAUUGAAGGGGGCUGCUCCUAGUACGAGAGGACCGGAGUGGACGAACCUCUGGUGUUCGGGUUGUGUCGCCAGACGCAUUGCCCGGUAGCUAAGUUCGGAAUCGAUAACCGCUGAAAGCAUCUAAGCGGGAAGCGAGCCCUGAGAUGAGUCUUCCCUGAUACUUUAAGUAUCCUAAAGGGUUGUCGGAGACUACGACGUUGAUAGGUCAGGUGUGUAAGUGCUGUGAGGCAUUGAGCUAACUGAUACUAAUUGCCCGUGAGGCUUAACCAUACAACACCCAAGGGGUUU
rnacentral:rRNA from 1 species